rnacentral:rRNA from 1 species
UCGAGAAUCAUUCACAAUGGGGGAAACCCUGAUGGUGCGACGCCGCGUGGGGGAAUGAAGGUCUUCGGAUUGUAAACCCCUGUCAUGUGGGAGCAAAUUAAAAAGAUAGUACCACAAGAGGAAGAGACGGCUAACUCUGUGCCAGCAGCCGCGGUAAUACAGAGGUCUCAAGCGUUGUUCGGAAUCACUGGGCGUAAAGCGUGCGUAGGCGGUUUCGUAAGUCGUGUGUGAAAGGCGGGGGCUCAACCCCCGGACUGCACAUGAUACUGCGAGACUAGAGUAAUGGAGGGGGAACCGGAAUUCUCGGUGUAGCAGUGAAAUGCGUAGAUAUCGAGAGGAACACUCGUGGCGAAGGCGGGUUCCUGGACGUUAACUGACGCUGAGGCACGAAGGCCAGGGGAGCGAAAGGG